UCUUCGGAGUGAAGAAUCUCUGGAUUAGUGGCGGACGGGUGAGUAACGCGUGAGCAAUCUGCCUUACACAGAGGGAUAGCCUCGGGAAACCGGGAUUAAUACCAUAUGAUAUCUAUUAACCGCAUGGUUUAUAGAUUAAAGAAUUUCGGUGUAAGAUGAGCUCGCGUCCCAUUAAUUAGUUGGUGAGGGUAACGGCCCACCAAGAUAGCGAUGGGUAGCCGAUCUAAGAGGAUGACCGGCCACAUUGGAACUGAGAAACGGUCCAAACUCCUACGGGAGGCAGCAGUGGGGAAUAUUGCACAAUGGGGGAAACCCUGAUGCAGCGACGCCGCGUGAGCGAUGAAGGCUUUCGAGUCGUAAAGCUCUGUCCUAUGGGAAGAUAAUGACGUACCAUAGAAG
rnacentral:rRNA from 1 species